rnacentral:rRNA from 1 species
UUUGAUCCUGGCUCAGAUUGAACGCUGGCGGCAGGCCUAACACAUGCAAGUCGAGCGGCAGCGGGAAAGUAGCUUGCUACUUUUGCCGGCGAGCGGCGGACGGGUGAGUAAUGCCUGGGGAUCUGCCCAGUCGAGGGGGAUAACAGUUGGAAACGACUGCUAAUACCGCAUACGCCCUACGGGGGAAAGGAGGGGACCUUCGGGCCUUUCGCGAUUGGAUGAACCCAGGUGGGAUUAGCUAGUUGGUGGGGUAAUGGCUCACCAAGGCGACGAUCCCUAGCUGGUCUGAGAGGAUGAUCAGCCACACUGGAACUGAGACACGGUCCAGACUCCUACGGGAGGCAGCAGUGGGGAAUAUUGCACAAUGGGGGAAACCCUGAUGCAGCCAUGCCGCGUGUGUGAAGAAGGCCUUCGGGUUGUAAAGCACUUUCAGCGAGGUAGGUAAAGGU